GUGAAUGGCAGGUGCGCUGCCCUCCGAGCUCCAAUGUCAAGACUGGUGACCAUGAUGCUCUGCCUGCUGCCCCUUGUCCUUCAGCUCCUGUCUUGCCAUGCUGCUGCUGGGCAGGACAUCCCAGAGGACAGGGCUGUAUGGGAUGGAGGAGGGUGUGUGCCUCAGGGGAACCUCCGGGACCCUCAGUGCAAGGAGAUGAAAGAGAUCCAUGAUACAGGAACUGCAAAGGAAGAAUCAUAUCUGACUGACAAAAACAAAAUGCUGAUACCUUUUAAAAGGAGUAGAAUCUCUGGAAGAAAUCCCACCACAAACAAGCCCAUGUUGUCUGAAGAGGAAAC